rnacentral:rRNA from 1 species
UACGUAGGGUGCAAGCGUUGUCCGGAAUUAUUGGGCGUAAAGAGCUCGUAGGCGGCUUGUCGCGUCGGCUGUGAAAACCUGGGGCUCAACCCCGGGCCUGCAGCCGAUACGGGCAAGCUAGAAUUCGGUAGGGGAGACUGGAAUUCCUGGUGUAGCGGUGAAAUGACGCAGAUAUCAGGAGGAACACCGGUGGCGAAGGCGGGUCUCUGGGGCCGAUAUUGACGCUGAGGAGCGAAAGCGUGGGGAGCGAACAGG